UGCCGGAGCUGGUGCGGCUGGUGUUUGUGGGCGCGGUGGAAAUGCCGGACCUUAGGGACAUGCUGGUGCUAGUCGCCUGCGGCGUCUGUUAUAAGCUUAAUGAAAUAAAGAUUCUGGUAGAACCGGAUACCGCCGACACCAGAGAAUCUUGGGAAGUGGCGGUGGCGAAUCUUAAGGAAGAGUUUAGCGAUAUCAUGAACCUUUUUGACAUUGAUUUUACUUUGAGUUUAUACAAAGUUUAGACUUGCUCAUAUGUUUCCUAUCGUACUUUACUUUUUCUGAAACAAUAAACGUUUUACGGAUAU